UGUAAAACAACAAGAAGUCGGCGAGAAAACUGUCGGCUGCCGCGAGAUCGUGGGUGAGGCGAAAGAGCUGACUUUCCUUUAACGAUGGCCGGCCAAAGAGGGUGGACGAUGGACGAUAUGAGAUGUGUUCUUCCGGCUUCGAGAGACGAGUUCUAUGAAGAUCUUGCAUCAGGCCAUCUCCGACGGCACCACCAUCAAAACAGUUGAGUCCACCUUAUAAACCACCAUCAAAACAAAUGCCAAAUAAGUCGGAAGAGCACAUCUCAUAUUCGUACAUUGUCCACCCGGAAUUCUUCUGCCGCUAGUCGUUGAAGGAAAGGCUGCUCUUUCACCUCAUCAUCAUCUCGCGCCUGGCGACGGUUUUGUUGACUAGUUAUUGCUUUUUUGUCCAGAGUCUAAGAACCGGUGCCGGCCCUUCGAUCCACGCGCGAGCCGUUGCUGUUCUUGGGCUUGCGCUCCGCAAAGAAGUAUCAAUCCUGUCGAUCGCUCGGUCCUGUAGACGUCAGCGAAGGCGACAGCGUGGACAGACUUCAUGGACGACGGUUGUUUCUUGAAGAGGAGAGGAGAGGAAAUGAACGAAGAGGCGGAGAAGGGAGCAGAGAGGCGAGGGGCGAGAAGAUAAAGUGCCUUCAUCUUCUUUGAAUCCCAUCGCCCCGUUCGGUUCGAUCUUGAAGAUGGAGGUAUCUGCGCUGGUGUUGGCUUGUGGCGUGAGGGUGGGAGCUGAUGGAAGGUACAAGAUUUGGUGUUGUAUUGGCAAUCCGUUGGCAUUGCAUUCGGCAGCAUGCUUCCGAGGCCAAGUGCUUCACAGUGCCGUCUUCACCAGAGGGUUGGAACUGAUGGAACCAAUAAUAGGUCCCUGUAUGCCAUCAAGGUCGGACCUUUCCACGACCCCAAGUGAUUUCUUUUCGAUUCUUACCACACCAUCGCAUUGGUAAGUCGAGUUUACUAAGAGUUGAGUUUAAUGAGACGGUUAGUUAAAUAAUGUCUAAAUGAUUCUUCUAUAGUUGAUCUAUCAGUUAGUUAAUGAGACAGUUAAUUAGUGGAGAUAAAUGGUACUAAAAAUUGUUCAAUAAUGUUAAUUUCAGUUUUGAAAAUCCUAAUGGUUCUAAACGAUCAAAUAUGAGUCGCAAACGUGUUUAUCAAAGAGAUUCUUCAAAGUAGCAGUCUGGAUUGAUGCAGAAUGAUAUUUGAGAAAGUUUCUUUGACAUCCAUGCAACUUCUUAUUAAUGUUCUUCGUUGGGGCUCUCACUACCAACCACAAUGAAUCAUAAUUAUGUAGAAGUUUCUCUAAAAUAAAGAUCCGGAAGUACACUGUCAAGCUUGGGUAGCUUCUUAUCAUAUACUUCAAGAUUUUCUAACGAUAUUAGCAGACAAAUAGGAUGGAUGGAUCACAGCAACAUUCAUCAAUAUGAGCAAGGCCGCAAAAUAAGAGGCAAAAUCAUCACAAAAACCAUAAGAGCAUAGUGCUGCAACGCCCAUAUAGCCGAAUACUUACAAGCAGACAGCUAGAGUGGCUCUCUGUGCAUCAUCACUGUAGUGCCAGAUUUAUUUUGCCGGAGCGUUGUUAGGAACUAGCUUAUUAAGUAAAUGUUUUUAUUUCUUUAGAUUAUUAGUUAUCGAAAUCAUGGCAAUCAGAGUUUUGCAUUCACUAUCUCCCUCACCUCACAACAUGGAGCUUGUGGUUCAUUUUAACAUUUCAUUCAGUGAUGUACUUCCAUGUGAUGACAUGAAUUUAUGCAUCUUCUUUCAGGUUGAGAAAUCAUUUGACUUA